rnacentral:tRNA from 1 species
GGUCUUAUAGUUUAUUAAAAAUAUAAAGUUGCAAACUUUGAGAAACAAAUUGUGUUGAGACUU